CUUCACUGUAAGCCUUACCUCUUGAGACGUAGCUCUUAUUAAGAGGUAAAGAGACAUAAAGGCCCACGAAAAGUUCAUCAUGUCGGUAGAUUUUCUCUUUCUAGAAGUGGCUAAGAGUGGGGAUUGGGUUGCAGAAAUGGGAAAGAAGGUGAAUGGACUUGAUGUUGCCGAACUGCAGACUUUAAAAUAGAAGAUCAAUAUAUGGCAGGAGAUAUGAAAAACAACCACUUGGCUGGCAGGUGGAAAUCAAAGCACAGAGUAAAUUUCUUUAUCAGUCACCCAUCCAAGUUUAGACACCUGCCCGGCUUCAUGUUACCAGAAGCAGCUGCUUUCCUGCCACUCAUUUGCAGUAUGUGUUCCUUCAUCUAUGACUCCCUUGGGCCUGACCCACCGAAAGAAGCCAGCAGGUCAUGAUUUUGGUUUCUGAAAUGCCUCUAAUUACUGCCCAGCUGCAUGUUUGGAACUCCAUCAAACAUAAGCAUCAGAGCCAUUAGCCUGAGAACGUGGACUAGCCUGGGGACAUGAGCCUAUGUUUGAGUUUUAGGUCAUUGGAAUGAACGGCAUGUGACAAUCAGCCUUUGAAACCUGAGGGAGGGCGCCUUCUGACUUGAAAAUGCCCUGUGGUGAUGAGCAGACUGCAGGCAAUCAGCAGGCAGAUAUGCAGCAGGUCAUCCCUCUGUACCUUCCCUUUCUGACCAUUUUCUUGACUUCCUUUCUGGCUUUCAUAUCCCACCUCACCACCAUCCGUGCUACAGGUAAGCAUCACUCUCUCUGCCCUCUCAUAUCCCUGACUUUUAUUCUAGGAGUGUUGGUUGCUGUGUUGUCUGCUGAAGCGAUUCUAAGCAUUACUGUUAACUGUGAAAUAGAAAAAUGUGUCCCCUUUUUAGUGACCAUCAUCAGAAGAGGAAGGGCCUAUGGGAAAAGGGAGAGCUUUUGGACUUUCUUAAAACCACAACUCAUGGUUUAAAGCAAGCUCUGCUUAAGGCAAAGGAAAUAGCAUAUCCAACAGCAGACCAUGAAGCCUAAAGUCAUCUGAAGGGAAGGACAGUGUCUCUGAAGGAGACUCAAAUUGUUCUUUUGUGUUGCUCCUUUUUUGGU
rnacentral:lncRNA from 9 species